AAGAGGUUAAGGUUUGAUUAAUUAAUUAUUUCUGCAAUAGAUGGGUUUAGCGAUCUCUAUCUCGCGGCUAUCGUCGAUUUCGUUUUGGUAAUUUUGGUGUAAAAGACCUUUAAUAGUGUGGUCGGUCAAUUGUUGUAAAUGUCGAUAAAAUAAUGGAAAUCAUUAAGUCCGGCCGUCCUGAAAGUACUGCCAUGAUUGUCAAGAAACUGAACAUUGCUAAAAAAAAUAGUUUGGAACCACUUCAAAAAGGCUGGAUACACUAAGAAGCUCGAUUUAUGCCACGUGAGCUAACGCGAAAAAACCUCGUUGAACGAAUUUCCACCUGCGAAUCGUUGCUCAAGCUUAACAAAAUUGAUCGAUUUCUGAAGUGCAUGAUGAUGAUGAAAAGUGGAUCACUGACAGGAACGUCAAAUGAAAACGAUUUUAGUCAAAGUGCAGUUAGCCAGCCCACAGUCUCCACGAUUGACGGCCAGGAAGAUUUUAUUGUGUAUUUUAACUACAAUGAACUGUUUCCCUUCGGCCAAGCGCUUAAUUCGGAUCUGUGCUGUCUGCAAUUGGACCUUCUGAAGGAAGCAAUCGUCUAGAAACGCCCAGCUUUGGCCGAUAGGACGGGAAUUGUGUUUCAUCAGGACAACACCGGACCACACACACACUCGAUAAUGACUGGCCAAAAGCUCCGAGAGCGCGGCUGGGAGUUUCUAUAUAUCCACCUUAUAUUCCGGACUUCGCAGCAAGUGACUAAGACGAAUAAUUUCCAAUUUUUCGCCAAUAAGUACAAGGAUUUCUAUGAUAGAGGCACAUUACCUACAAAUGGCAAAGGGAAUUUCAACCAAUCCACACAUUAAAAAAACCAUCAACCGUUCAGAGCCGACUUAGAAUGAGCUGUAAGUUCCCCUAUUUAUUGCAAAAAUAUCAAGACGCAAACUCACAAUCUGAAGGAAGAGAACAGCCGAAAAUCCCUUCAGCGGUUACAAGGAGUCAGUUAUAUAUAUAAAGCCCAAUCCGAGUUCUUGAACGAUUUUUUAUGCUCCAUUAUGUAUUCAGCCCGAGUAAAAGAAGAAUUUUUGGCAUUCACAGUUUGGCAGCUUCAAUUGCAGUCUUUCCACCAGGCCGCAAAUUAUAUUUUUCAAACACUCUUCAAAAUUUUUUUUUAAUUAUUUUUAUU